AAAAAGAUAAGCUAAUAAAGCUAAUGGGUUCAUACCCCAUUUAUGAAAGUUCUAAAUCUUUCUCUUUUUA
rnacentral:tRNA from 1 species